rnacentral:rRNA from 1 species
UACAGAGGGGGCAAGCGUUGUUCGGAAUUACUGGGCGUAAAGGGCGCGUAGGCGGCCUGCUAAGUCGAACGUGAAAUCCCUGGGCUCAACCCAGGAACUGCGUCCGAUACUGGUUGGCUUGAAUCCGGGAGAGGGAUGCGGAAUUCCAGGUGUAGCGGUGAAAUGCGUAGAUAUCUGGAGGAACACCGGUGGCGAAGGCGGCAUCCUGGACCGGUAUUGACGCUGAUGCGCGAAAGCCAGGGGAGCAAACGGG